GGGUAGGAGCAGCAUUCGCAGAGGACUUGGCAUGCAAAGGAAGAAAAGUGGAGCUCCUGGCAGGACGCCAGCUGUUCUCCCUCUCACUGACUUGCCCUCUCAGUUUGCCGCAGAGAAAAGAACGUGCUUCCCCUACAGUCUACUAGCACUCAUCUGCUAUCUCCCUACCCUUCCCCCUCUCCUGGAGUGCACAGCCUGACUCAUUAGUCAGGGCCAGGGCCGGAUGUGCUGCAAAAGGAGAGCUUACUGUAACUGAAAAGUAUACCUGAGACAUGAAACACAUACAGAUUUUCUCAAAGAAGUUUUACGUCGUCAUGUUCCUCAUUCGUAUGACUUAACAAAAGAGACAGAGAGUCUCUAUGCACUCAAAUCCCUGAACUAUGCACACAAAUUCCUGAACCCCAAUGGGAUGCACCCACGAGUGCUCAGGGAGCUGAAAGAAGUGAUUGCAAAACUGCUCUCAUUUUUAAAGAUCAUGGAGAAUUGGAGGGGUGACUGAAGACUGGAGGAAAACCAAUGUCACUCCAGUCUUCAAAAAAGUGAAGGAGGAAUGAGGAAUCUACAGGCCAGUUAACCUCAACAUUAUCCCUGGGGAGAUGAUAGAACAGCUUAUUUUGAAUGUCAUCUCCAAGCAAGUGGAAGAAAAUAAGCUUACCAGGAGCAGUCAACAUGGAUUCACCAAAGGGAAAUCAUGCUUGACAAAUAUGGUAGCCUUCUAUGAUGUCAUGACUCACUGGGUAGAUGAGGGAAAAGCAGUGGAUAUUCAGCAAGUUUUUUUGUUUUGUUUUGUUUUUGUUUCUGUUUUUCAUAGAAGCAUAGAACAUCUUGAGUUAGAAAGGACCCGUAAGAAUUGUCAAGUCCAAGUCUGGGCUCCUCACAGAACCACCCAGAACUCAGACCAUAUGAUGCAUCUGGAACUCUGUCAGCUUGAGGCUGUGACCACUUCCAUGGGGAGCCUGUUUUUUAUCGGUGUCCUCGUACCAAUUCCUGUGACCUGAUAUCCAUGCCCUAGUAGCAGCAUGGAAUUUCAUAUGAUUAAGUAUAGUUUUAGAGUAAGUUUCAUGAACUUCUGAAAAUUGAUUCUGCUGAGAUUUAGAUAACAACAGUAAGCUUAUCUGGGAGGGGUGCAGUCUUCCUCUUCCAUGCUCUCAUAGUAUCUCUCAUAGUAGAUGAGUGGACAGUAAAGUGCACUGAGAUCAGUAAAGCUCUGAGUGUUGCAAUCAGUGCCCCAGAGCCUAGAUGGAGGCCUGUAGCUAGCAGUGUUUCCCAGGGGUUGGCACUGGGUCCAGUCUUGCAUAAUAGCUUCAUCAGAUGCCUGGCUGAAGGUAGAGAGUGCACCCUCAGCAAGUUAACUGAUCAUACAAAGCUGGGAGGAAUGGCACCUCCAGACAGGUGGCUGUUCAGUGAGACCUGAACAGCCCAGAGGGUUGGAUAGAGAGGAAGCUUAUGAGGUUCAACAAGAUCAAGUGUAGAGUCUUGCAUCUGGGGAGGAGUCAUUUCAUGAGUCUGUAAAGGUUAGAGGAUGGCCUGCUGGAAAGGAGCUCUGCAGAGAAGGACCUCGAUUCUUGUGGGCAACAGGUUUGCCAUGAGCCAGCAAUGCACCCUUGUGGCCAAGAAGGCCAAUAGUAUCCUGAGGUACAUUAAAGAGAACACGGCCAGCAGGUCGAGGCAUAUUCUCCACCUGACCUAUUCUCUCCUUGCAAAGCCACAUCUGGAGUUGUGUGACAAGAUGUGGGCUCCUCAGUUCAAUAAAAACAUGGAACUUCUAGAGAGAAUCCAGCUGAGGGCCACAAAGAUGAUUAGGUGCCUGGAGCAUCUCCUUUAUAAGUAAAGGCUGAGAAACCUUUGAUUGUUCUGCCUGGGGGAGAGAAGAGUGAUGAGGGAUCUUAUCAAUGCUUAUAAAUAUCUAAGGGAUGGGUGUCAGAACAGUGUGGUCAGCUGCUUUUUGGUGGUUCCCAGAGACAGAAUAAAGGGCAGUGGGUACAAACUGCAACAGAGGAAGUUCCAAAUGAACUUCUUUACUUUGGAGGCUACAGAGAACUGGAAGAAGCUGCCCAAAGGAGUUGUGGAGUCCUUUUCUCUGGAGAUAUGCAAAACCCCCCUGGACACUUUCUUCUGCAACCUACUGUAGAGAACCUGCUUUAGCCAGGGGAUUGGACUAGACGUUCUCCAGAGGUCCCUUCCAAUCCCUAUGAUUCUCUGGUUCUGUGUUAGAUUCACCUUUAUCAGAUGUGUAUCACCAGUUUGAUGAUCUCUCAAACAAAAUCUGUCAAAUGACAACAUAAUUUACAGUGAUAACAUAUGAAAUACCUUGUGACCUCAAUUGGUUUUCUUUGACUAUAAGUUUAACUAGAAUUCAAAUAAACCACCAGGAAACUCUUGUAUCUUUUUAGAGAUUUACCUAUUGCAAAAAAAAAAUGACCUCCUGCUCAACUGUUCUGAUAUAUGCAUAUUAGAGAGUGUCUUUAAGAUAUUUUGAAGACUAAAAAUAUGUAUAUUUACUGUAGAGUUUUUGUAUAUCUUUUUGUUAUUAUCAAAACAAUAAAAAAAUACACAUUCCCAUUUCCAGGUACAAUUUAGAAUAUAAAGCAAGAAAGAAACUAUGUAUUUGAGGAAAUUAAGUGUUAUACAGUACAGAAUCUGGUACAGAAUUGGCACUCUGCAGAAGUCAAGAAUAAUCUCAAAACAUCACAAAAAAAAAAGAAAAGAAAAAAGAAAAAUAAUAUUUACAAAGUUUUUUGUUUACAGUUUUGCAGUUUAACUUGCGUGCUAAGAAGUAUCGAAUCUAUAGAAAAAAAACGUUUUUACUCUGACCUCUUUCUACAUUGUUUCUGGCUUGUUUGCUUUGUUUAUUUAAAGCACAUCAUUGAGACAGCUGAAAGUAGAUCAGUAAACUGUGAAAUGUCUCUGACAGUAUAGUAGGAAGUUCAUUUGAUGUAAUAAGUUGGAGUUGAAAGGUGGUUUUAUAUUUUUUCCUGAAUAUGAACAACUAUUGCCAGUUGCAACUAUUGAGCAUAUGGCUAACCAUUUUUUAUGAAUUUAAUAUCUUUGAUCUGAGAAUAUAUUUCAUCUACAAGAGAAGAAAUCAGACAUAAACAUUAGCUGCAGAAAAAAAUGUGACAGCUUGGUUUAGGGUGGUAAAUAGAAAUUUAUUCUCUCACACACACACACACACACACACAAGAUAAAUAUAAAGCAAGAUGUGCAUCUCUCAAUAAUUUCUUAAGGAAGAAAACACCAUUCCAGUGAUAAAUGAAGUCUUGCUUGCUUAACUGUUGAAUACUAUCAGUUUGUAAAACAGAGAUAGGUAGUGAAGUCUGUGUACAAGACAUUCCUGAAAGUAUUGUUAUUUUACUCUGAACUAUAAAUGUUAAAGUCUUAAUUAAAGAGAUAUGAAAAAGGUGUGAUAUGCUGAAUUAGUUGAUGAAUUGCUUGUUUGAUUAAAGUAUAAUUAAACAGAUUUGUUUUUAUUUCAUAUUCCAUAAAUGAUAAAUGACUCUCAAACUAGUUCCAUAAUUAAGAUACACAUAUAGUAAGUGAAGAGAUUAAUGUUUAAUUAACUAAGGUCUUAACUAUAAUACUUGAGGCGAUAUUCAUUAAGGAAAAUCUACAGUAGUUAUGCUGGGCUGACAGUUUUUUUUUUUUAUGGAGCUUUUGUAUCAAAGAUAUUGUGUAUGAAGAACUAGGAUAAUUUCUGGAACAGCCACAGGGCUUUUUCUUCAAAGAGGUCAUUCAUAGGUAUAGAUUUUUACUUUUUAUAAAUUAUACAUCUGUGCUGAUGAAAAUUUACUGAUUCUAACACUGGGUACCUUAGAUAGCUCCUUGAUCAAAUUAAUCUUGACCAUGAUUAUAUAACUGAAAUAAGAUAAUAUUGAAUUCACUUUUUUUUUUUUUGAGUAAAGGUGAGGAAAUGAUAAAUUCAGUAAGAAUUUUGAAAUUUGGUUUCAUCGUGGUUCAAAAUGAAACCUAAGCAUCAUUCUCUACAUAAGUAAUUUUUUUUUUUGUUGUACUGUAUGGAAACUGUUGAAUCACAGCUUGAACCACUGAUUGACCACCUGAGGCGAGCACUGAGUCAGCUGCAGGGGCACAGAUGAACACAAUUUCACCUGAGUCACCGGAAGGGAAUAUCCUGUCACUGACCAAGAGAGAAGCUGCAUUCUGCAUACAUACUGCCUACCAUAAGAUUCACAGAACACUGCAAAACUGCAAUGAUAAAGAUGAACUUCACUAGAGUGAAAUGCAUAAUCAUAGAAUCACAAAAUCACCAAGAUGGAAAAAUAUCUCCAACAUCAUUUAGUUCACCUAUCACCAAUACUUCCUCACUAAACCAUGUCCUUCAGUAUAUCUAAAUGUUUCUUGAACAUCUCCAGGGUUGAUGACUUCUCCACCUCCCUGGGCAGCCCGUUCCAGUGCCUAACGACUCCUUCAGAGAAGAAGUAUUUCCUAAUAUCCCACCUGAAUCUCCCCUGGUGCAACUUGAGGCCAUUCCCUCUAGUCCAGUUGCUAGUCACAUGGGAGAAGAGUCCAACCCCCACUUCACUACAACCUCCCUUCAGGUAGCUGUAGAAAGCAAUCAGGUUUCCUAUGAUGCUCCUUUUCUCCAGACUGAACAAUCCCAAUUCCCUCAACUGCUUCUCAUAAGGCUCAUGCUCCAGACCCCUCACCAUCUUUGUUGCCCUUCUUUGAACACGCUCCAAGGCCUCAAUGUCUCUCUUACAGUGAGGGGCCCAAAACUGAACACAGUAUUCAAGGUGCAGCCUCACCAGUGCUGAAUACAGUCCUAUAAAGGACACAGAGGAGGUCUCAUCAAAGCAUAUAAACAUCUGAAGUGAGGAUGAAAUGAAGAUGGUGAUAGGAUCUUUUCAGUGGUGUCCAUUGACAAGACAAGAGGUAAUGAGCACAGACUGCUAAAGUGCUUUCCAACCUAAGCCAUUCUGUGCUUCUGUGAAAUACAAAAGAUACCAUCUAAACAUCAGGAAAUAGUACUGUGUGUGUGACAGAACACUGGAUCAGGUUAUAAGGAGAGGACAUGGAGUUUUCCUCCUUGGUGAUACUCAAAAGUCAUCCAAACAUGAUCCUGGGCAACUGGCUCUAACUGUUCUGAUUGCUGCAGAAUGCAAGGAUAACUGGAGGCAUUUCUGCUGUUAGAGUGGUGUCAGGAACAAGGAAAAUAAGUGAAAUGUCUCAAAGCUUGUCACAUUCUGGACUACUCCCAAGAUGAGGUGGCUCGGCCUUGUGUGAAGGCCCUGGCUUCUCCAGUGUUCAUUCUGACAACAGAUUCUUCAUGCUGAAGAAGAGUUUUCUGACAACAGACUCCUCAUGAAAAACAGGUUUCUGAAAGCAGAUUCCUCACGACCUGAGACCUGCAUACUGAAGAAGAACAAGAAGUUUUCUGACAUAAGAAGCCUCACAACCUGCCUCUCCCUCCUGGACUUGCUCUGCAUUCUACCUGCUUGCUUCCUAAGGUUGGCCUCUCUGCUGCUGCUCUCCCCCUGAGAAGGUGUCUGCCAUCAGAUCCCUCACUACGGAAGGUCUGCAUGCUGACAGACUCUCCAGGGCCUGUUAUGGGAGGCUUGCUGCUUCCUCCUGGACUUCUUCCUGGACCUACUCGGUACCUGCACCUUCUUGCUGCCCAAGACCAGCCAUGCUGCUGCUGCUCUUCCCCUGUGCUUUUGCCCCAGACCAUCAGAAUGUCAUGCAGUGGGACUGCUGCCAGAUCCUGGUGGUGACUAUCCCCACUUUACACAAUUCUUGCCUCUUUCUAUCUUUUCUAUCACCCGCCUUCCCUUCCCUAUCACCCUAAAUCAUCCGUCCUCCCCUUCCCCAUCUCCCUUAUUAAGAUUUGUAAUAAACUGGUCGGACCAACAUUUGAACCGUUGUUUCUUAAUCUCACGCCGGGUAUACAUAUAUCAAAGAACUUCCUCUCCCUCCUAUAAAUUGGAGCAAGACAGCAGGAUACCCUACCGUGAGAGUAUUACCUUCUUGGCAACACAGGAACAAUUUAGGAAAUAGAAUGAAUCAUUGGAAUUGUACAGCUAGAGGAGAUUAGGCCAUUCUUUGGAUGGCAUUAUUCAAGUAAAGUGGUAAUAGUUCAACAUAGGCUGAUUCUCUUAGAGGGGAGACUGACUUGCAGAAAACUGAGGACACUUUAUUUCUGAAAGACAGUAUCCAGGGGCACAAAUGUACUUAUACUGCAAACCUGAACCAAGUGGAAACAAUAUGAAAUUUCGUAUUGAGAUGCUGUCUUUCUUUUGUUAAAAUACAGUCUGAGAUUUUGUUGUUACUUUUGUUGUACUAAUCAAGAAACACUUCAAAUGCAGAUCACGCAUUAAGUUUGACAAGCAAGGAAUUUUUUCCCAUCAUUUUAUGUUUCUUUUAAUUUCCCAAUCCAUGAAACAGGAGGAGAGAAGGUCUUUACCUGGUAUUUUAUGUGUGACUCAGUCUGAAGGUAAUGUCCAGAAAAGGUAGGUUAUGUUCAGAUAUAAGAAAAAAUUAUUGUCAUAAAAUUUCAGCAUCAAUUGUACAGAAUUCUGAAGUAACAAAUAGUACAAAGUUAGAUAGUCAGAACAUUUUUUUUUUCCUAAAUGAAUGUUAAUUUUCUAAGUAACAUUCAAAUGUAUUACAAUGGAUUUUUUCCCUUGAAUUGUUUGAUUAAUUUAAUUUGUACUGUUUACAUCUGAACAAAAAAAUAAAAUACAGCAGCAAAUCAGGUUAAAUGUGCUAUAUUUCAAAUAGAUGCAGAUUAACUUUUCUGAAUGAUUCGCUGACAUUAAAAAAUAAAAUGAUCAAUGCCAAAAUAAGACAAUUAUUUUAUUAUUUGGCAUAAUGUUGGUAAUACAAUCGUAAUCAAAAUAUCACAAAAUAGUUUAUUACAUAAUUACAGCGCAUUUUGUGUGUGUCUCCAUUCUUCCUCUAUGGGUGAAGUUUAAAUAUUCUAGAAAUGUGCCAAUUUUCAAACCACAGAAAAGUAAUUUCAUUUUUAUAUAGAAGUGUUAUUUUGCACUGAGGUUUUCUAAAACUGAUAUAAGAUAUUAUGUAAAUUAUAACAAGUUACAAAUCAAUGUAUUCAGAUGUAAUUUCCAUUCAAGAAAAAUGUGCAUCCCUUUUAAAUGUUAAGAAAGGCAUUUGAUGCCUCUGUGUACACAUAUCUCCUGCAGAUGCUUCACAGAGAAAUAUGGAGUGCUUCUUUGUUUUCUAUUUCAAAAGGCAGGAGACUAGAAAUAGAUUAAAGCAUGUGAUUUUCUUCUUUAUGGGACACUUUAAGUCAUUCUCUCUUCCUGAGCAACUUAAGAGAGUGUGGGGAAGGGAAGCAAGGCUGAACUUUUGCUUUGUUUUAACAACUUUUUUUUUUUUUUUUUUUGCUUUGAUAGCUCUUUUGACAGUCUCUUCAUGACACAUACAGUUACCUAAGAGUGUAGAAAUUAUAAACUAAUAAUUUAUUUCUGUAUGUUGAGGAGAAGGAUUAAGACCAGAUAAUAUCUUAGUAUUCUAAGAUCAGUAACUUAAAUAGGCUGAUAUAAAUCAGGAACCUUUAAGAUACAAUUAAAAAAAAAAUCAGUUUAAAGAGAGCACUACAAGUGGAAGUUUGAGGGUAAUUCAUAUGAAAUUAUACAGGAAGAAAAGCUGUGCAUCUUAAAAGCUUGGAAAGAUUACAGCAUAAAUUUAGGAG
ensembl:lncRNA